rnacentral:rRNA from 1 species
CAUCCUGGGGCUGGAGGCGGUCCCAAGGGUUGGGCUGUUCGCCCAUAAAAGAGGCACGCGGGCUGGGUUCAGAACGUCGUGAGACAGUUCGGUACCUAUACGUCGCGGGCGCAGGAAAUUUGAGAGGGGCUGUCCUUAGUACGAGAGGACCGGGAUGGACACACCGCUGGUGUACCAGUUAUUAUAGCGGGACGAGCGCUGGGU